rnacentral:piRNA from 1 species
UGAAUAUUUACGCUGUAUCCU